AGUGUGUGUGUUAGUGGAAGCGUCUGGAAAGGCGCGCGAUACAGGGUGACAGCCCCGUACACAAAAAUGCACAUGCUGUGAGCUCGAUGAGUAGGGCGGGACACGUGGUAUCCUGUCUGAAUAUGGGGGGACCAUCCUCCAAGGCUAAAUACUCCUGACUGACCGAUAGUGAACCAGUACCGUGAGGGAAAGGCGAAAAGAACCCCGGCGAGGGGAGUGAAAAAGAACCUGAAACCGUGUACGUACAAGCAGUGGGAGCCUCUUUUAUGGGGUGACUGCGUACCUUUUGUAUAAUGGGUCAGCGACUUAUAUUCUGUAGCAAGGUUAACCGAAUAGGGGAGCCGAAGGGAAACCGAGUCUUAACUGGGCGUUAAGUUGCAGGGUAUAGACCCGAAACCCGGUGAUCUAGCCAUGGGCAGGUUGAAGGUUGGGUAACACUAACUGGAGGACCGAACCGACUAAUGUUGAAAAAUUAGCGGAUGACUUGUGGCUGGGGGUGAAAGGCCAAUCAAACCGGGAGAUAGCUGGUUCUCCCCGAAAGCUAUUUAGGUAGCGCCUCGUGAAUUCAUCUCCGGGGGUAGAGCACUGUUUCGGCAAGGGGGUCAUCCCGACUUACCAACCCGAUGCAAACUGCGAAUACCGGAGAAUGUUAUCACGGGAGACACACGGCGGGUGCUAACGUCCGUCGUGAAGAGGGAAACAACCCAGACCGCCAGCUAAGGUCCCAAAGUCAUGGUUAAGU
rnacentral:rRNA from 1 species